AAUAAGCAUCAAUCAAAUAAUCAAAUAAACCGAUGAUUAACCUCGAAAAUCGACAAAGAAAGAAGAAAGAAACAUCAUUAUUUAGCAAACAAAAAUGCCACCAUCAUCGUUGUUUAUUCUGUUUUUUUUUUGUUCUCCAUACAAUUCUUGGCAAUAUAUAGAGAAUAUUCUCUAGUCAUCAUCAUCAUCAUAAUCAUAUUACAUCAGCAUCAUAAUUAAUUCUGUAAUUAUCCCUGUUUUUAAUCACCAUUUACCACCGUCAUUAUUCUGGAAAUUCUAUCCAAAAAUUUUUAAUGUUCUUGUCAUUCAUUUAAUCCAAACAAACCAAACCAACCACCCACACACUUAAUCAGGUGAUGACGUUUUUGGAAAAAAAACAGAAUUCUCGCACCACCACCAUCAUAUAAUUUACAUCUUUAUUUCGUUUUUUUUAUAAUCAACAUUUGGAUGAAAUUAGUAACAAUCCGUUGUUGUUGUUGUUGUUGUUGCCAAUCGGAAACG